CCUACGGGCGGCAGCAGUGAGGAAUAUUGGUCAAUGGGCGUAAGCCUGAACCAGCCAAGUCGCGUGAGGGAUGAAGGUUCUCUGGAUCGUAAACCUCUUUUAUAAGGGAAUAAAGUGUGGGACGUGUCCUAUUUUGUAUGUACCUUAUGAAUAAGGAUCGGCGAACUCCGUGCCAGCAGCCGCGGUAAUACGGAGGAUCCGAGCGUUAUCCGGAUUUAUUGGGUUUAAAGGGUGCGUAGGCGGCCUGUUAAGUCAGCGGUGAAAGUCUGUGGCUCAACCAUAGAAUUGACUUUGAUACUGGGGAGCUUGAGUAUGUUUGAGGCAGGCGGAAUGCGGGGUGUAGCGGUGAAAUGCGUAGAUAUCACGCAGAACCCCGAUGGCGAAGGCAGCCUGCCAGGCCAUGACUGACGCUGAUGCACGAAAGCGUGGGGAUCAAACAGGAUUAGAUACCCUGGUAGUC
rnacentral:rRNA from 1 species